AAGGUGGGGACGACGUCAAGUCAUCAUGGCCCUUACGCCUAGGGCUACACACGUACUACAAUGGCGCAUACAAAGGGCAGCGAUACCGCGAGGUGGAGCCAAUCCCAAAAAGUGCGUCCCAGUCCGGAUUGCAGUCUGCAACUCGACUGCAUGAAGUUGGAAUCGCUAGUAAUUCGAGAUCAGCAUGCUCGGGUGAAUGCGUUCCCGGGCCUUGUACACACCGCCCGUCACACCACGAAAGUUGGUUUUACCCGACACCGGUGAGCUAACCAGCAAUGGAGGCAGCCGCCUACGGUAGGGCCGAUGAUUGGGGUGAAGUCGUAACAAGG
rnacentral:rRNA from 1 species